UGGGUCUCCAAAACCAAACUACAAUUUGU
rnacentral:piRNA from 1 species